CAGCCGCCGCGGGAAUACGGAGGGAGCUAGCGUUGUUCGGAAUUACUGGGCGUAAAGCGCGCGUAGGCGGUUACUCAAGUCAGAGGUGAAAGCCCGGGGCUCAACCCCGGAACUGCCUUUGAAACUAGGUGACUAGAAUCUUGGAGAGGUCAGUGGAAUUCCGAGUGUAGAGGUGAAAUUCGUAGAUAUUCGGAAGAACACCAGUGGCGAAGGCGACUGACUGGACAAGUAUUGACGCUGAGGUGCGAAAGCGUGGGGAGCAAACAGGUUUAGAUACCCCUGUAGUCCCUGUCUCUUAUAC
rnacentral:rRNA from 1 species